GAUGAACGCUGGCGGCGUGCCUAAUACAUGCAAGUCGAGCGAACAGACGAGGAGCUUGCUCCUCUGACGUUAGCGGCGGACGGGUGAGUAACACGUGGAUAACCUACCUAUAAGACUGGGAUAACUUCGGGAAACCGGAGCUAAUACCGGAUAACAUGUUGAACCGCACGGUUCAACAGUGAAAGACGGUCUUGCUGUCACUUAUAGAUGGAUCCGCGCCGCAUUAGCUAGUUGGUAAGGUAACGGCUUACCAAGGCAACGAUGCGUAGCCGACCUGAGAGGGUGAUCGGCCACACUGGAACUGAGACACGGUCCAGACUCCUACGGGAGGCAGCAGUAGGGAAUCUUCCGCAAUGGGCGAAAGCCUGACGGAGCAACGCCGCGUGAGUGAAGAAGGUCUUCGGAUCGUAAAACUCUGUUAUUAGGGAAGAACAAAUGUGUAAGUAACUAUGCACGUCCUGACGGUACCUAAUCAGAAAGCCACGGCUAACUACGUG
rnacentral:rRNA from 1 species